GUGAUCCAACAAUAUAGGUUAAUUAAAAAAAACUCACCUCCGUUCACCUCAAAUUGCCGCAACUAUAGCUGUCAUCGCCGCUACAACCCAUCGCCACCAUUGAUUAUCAUUCAUCGCUUGCUCGUCCAUCGUUAAGCUCGGCGAUGAGUCCAAACUAGUCGCACAUGCCCGACAACGAGCCUGGACCCAUUGGGUGAACACGACAAUGACUCCAACGUCGUAGCGGCGAUGGCAGCUGUAGCUGCGGCGAUUUGAGGUGAACGGAGGUGAGUUUUUUUUAAAUUAACCUAUAUUGUUGGGUCACUUUAAAGUUUCCAAUAAAAGCGAGAAGGAUAAUGUCUGCCUAGACUGCUUCCUCAAACGUCAUUUAAAAUACUAUUUUCUCCGUAUUCUCUUGUCACAAUUCUCUCCGGAAACAUCCCAUAAAAUCAUAAGGACUAACCCUUUCCAAUCAACCAGGGAAACUAAAGCGCCAACGUGGUGACCAUCCAAUCAUAUCAUUUGGCAAAAAGUGAGAAAAUAUGAAUAAGGAUUUUAUAACCAAAACUAUUGGAAAAGUAUUAUAACGAAAACUCUUUUCAGUGGCAGUUAGUCAACUCUCUCUAAAAACAGAAUCCAAGCAGAGUAUUGCAUUUUUUGAUAAGCCAUAAAUUUUAGCAAUAGAAAAUUUAGCAGAGUAUUGCAUUGUUUGAUAAGUCAUAAACUUUAGCUAUAGAAAAUUUGUUCAAUCUGAAAAAUCUCUAUAACCUUUUGCAAAUUUGUUGGAGCCCGCCAAAACAAUGUCAGUUCUUGAGAUGGUGGCAGCAAGCAUAAUUUUUUAUUGUAGCUUUUAUUGUUUUUUCCACAAACACUCGUUUGUAUGAUGGUAAUUUAAGAUAUUUUCUAAUAUCUCUAUUUGCACAAACAAAAUAAAAAAUAGAUUAAUAAAUUUUAAUAACAAAAUAAUUGACAUAUUAGUAAAUUUCUUUAUCUAUUUUUUAUCUGCAAUGCAGAAUCUAUGAUUUUACUAUAUAUCCAUCGACAAGCUGCAUGAAUUCAAAUAAAAUGUUACCAUAGAUUUUGCAAUGCAGAUAAAAAAUAUGUAAAUAAAUUUAUUAAUAUGUCAAUUAUUUUUUUAUAAAAUUUCUUAAUUAAUUUUUUUUGUUUGUUCAAAUAGGGAUAUUAGAAAAUAUCUUAGAUUACCAUCAUACAAAUGUUUGUUUGUGGAAGAAACUAUAAAAGCUACUAUAAAAAAUUAUGUUUGCCGCCACCAUCUCAAGGAAAUGACACUGGUUCAGCGGGCUCUAAUAAAUUUGCGAAGGUUAUAGAAAUUUUUCAGACUGAACAAAUUUUUUAUAGCUAAAGUUUAUGACUUAUCAAAAAAUGCAAUACUUUGCUUGGAUUCUGUUUUUUAGAAAGGGUUGACUAACUGCCACUAAAAGGAGUUUUCGUUAUAAUACUUUUCCAAUAGUUUUGGAUAUAAAAUCUCUUUCCAUAUUUUUUCUCUUUUUGCCAAAUGAUAUGAUUGGAUGGUCACCACGUUUACUAACAGUUGUGUUCGGAAACAUCCCAUAAAAUCAUAAGGACUAACCCUCUCUAAUCAACCAGGGAAACUAAAGCGCCAACGUGGUGACCAUCCAAUCAUAUCAUUUGGCAAAAAAAAAGAAAAUAUAAAAAGGGAUUUUAUAACCAAAACUAUUGGAAAAGUAUUAUAACUUAUAAAAACUCUUUUCAAUGACAGUUAGUCAACUCUCUCCAAAAAUAGAAUCGAAGCAGAGUAUUGCAUUGUUUGAUAAGCCAUAAACUUCAGCUAUUGAAAAGUUGUUCAGUCUGAAUAAUCUCUAUAAUCUUUUGCAAAUUUGUUUGAGCACGUUGAACCAGUGCCAUUUCCUUGAGAUGGUGGCGGCAAGUAUAAUUUUUUUAUAGUUGUUUUUAUAGUUUCUUCCACAAACACACGUUUGUAUGAUGGUAAUUCUAGAUAUUUUUUAAUAUCCUUAUUUUAACAAACAAAAUAAAAAAUGGAUUAAUAAAUUUUAUAAAAAAAUAAUUGACAUAUUAAUAAAUUAAUUUAUCUAUUUUUUAUUUGCAAUGCAGAAUCUAUGGUUGUACCAUAUAUCCAUCGACAAGCUGCAUAAAUUCAAAUAAAAUGUUACCAUAGGUUUUCCAUUGCAGAUAAAAAAUACGAAAAUAAUUUUAUUAAUAUGUCAAUUAUUUUUUUAUUAAAUUUAUUAAUCUAUUUUUUUUUUGUUUAUGUAAAUAGGGAUAUUAGAAAAUAUCUUGAAUUAACAUCAUACAAACGUGUGUUUGUGGAAGAAAGUAUAAAAACUUCUAUAAAAAAUUAUGCUUGCCGCCACCAUCUCAAGAAAUGACACUGGUUUUGCGGGCCCCAACAAGUUUGCAAAAGCUUAUAAAGAUUUUUCAGAUUGAACAAAUUUUCUAUAACUGAAGUUUAUGGCUUAUCAAAAAAUGCAAUACUCUGCUUGGAUUCUGUUUUUGGAGAGAGUUGACUAACUGGCACUGAUAAAAGUUUAAGUUAUAAUACUUUUUCAAUAGUUUUGAAUAUAAAAUCCCUUGUCAUAUUUAAUCCCUUUUUGCCAAAUGAUAUGAUUGGAUGGUCACCACGCUGGCGCUUAAGGUGAUCUAAUAAUAUAGGUUAAUUUAAAAAAACUCACCUCCGUUCACCUCAAAUUGCCGCAGCUACAGCUGUCAUCACCGUUACAGCCCAUCGCCAACAUUGAUCAUCAUUCAUCGCCUACUCGCCCAACGUUAAGCAUGGCAAUGAGUCCAAAUUAGUCACACAUGCCCGACAACGAGCCUGGACCCGUUGGGUGAACACGACAAUGAUUCCAACCCUCGUAGCGGCGAUUGCAGCUGUAGCUGCGGUCAUUUGAGGUGAACGGAGGUGAGUUUUUUUUAAAUUAACCUAUAUUGUUGGAUCAUCUUAAAGUUUCCAAUAAAAGCGGAAAGGAUAAUGUCAGCCUAGACUGUUUCCUCGAACGUCAUUUAAAAUACUAUUUUCUCCAUAUUCUCUUGUCACAGUUCUUUUUGGAAACAUCCCAUAAAAUCAUAGUUCAGAUCCUCUGUCCCUAUUUCUCUCUAUCCCCGUGUCCCAUUGUCGGUCGGACGGAUCAGAUUAAAUCUCAAGGUAUCAUGACAUCUUUAAUAUAUGUGCAGUAUCCUCGUGAUGUGCAAAGUAUCCUUGAGAUUUAAUCUGAUCGACAAUGAGACACGAGGAUAGAGAGAAAUGGAGACAGAGGAUCUGAACUGAUAAAAUCAUAAGGACUAACCCUUUCCAUUCAACCAGGGAAACUAAAGCGUCAAUGUGGUGACCAUCCAAUCAUAUCAUUUGGCAAAAAGAGAGAAAAUAUGAAUAGGGAUUUUAUAACCAAAACUAUUGGAAAAGUAUUAUAACGAAAACUCCUUUCAGUGGUCAGUUAUUUAACCCUCUCCAAAAACAGAAUCCAAGCAGAGUUUUGCAUUGUUUGAUAAGUCAUAAACUUUAGCAAUAGAAAAUUUGUUCAAUCUAAAUAAUCUCUAUAACGUUUUGCAAAUUUGUUGGAGCCCGCAAAACCAGUGCCAUUUCUUGAGAUGGUGACGGCAAGCAUAAUUUUUUAUAGUAGAUUUUAUAGUUUCUUCCACAAACAAGCGUUUGUAUGAUGGUAAUUUCAAGAUAUUUUCUAAUAUCCCUAUUUGUAUAAACAAAAUAAAAAAUAGAUUAAUAAAUUUUAUAAAAAAAUAAUUGACAUACCAAUAAAUUUAUUUUCGUAUUUUUUAUCUGCAAUGGGAAACCUAUGGUAACAUUUUAUUUGAAUUCAUGCAGCUUGUCGAUGGAUAUAUGGUACAACUAUAGAUUCUGCAUUUCAGAUAAAAAAUAGAUAAAUAAAUUUAUUAAUAUGUCAAUUAUUUUUUUAAUAAAAUUUAUUAAUCUAUUUUUUAUUUUGUUUGUGCAAAUAGAGAUAUUAGAAAAUAUCUUGAAUUACCAUUAUACAUACGUGAGUUUGUGGAAGAAACUAUAAAUGCUACUAUAAAAAAUUAUUCUUGCCGCCACCAUCUCAAAAAAUGUCACUGGUUUUGCGGGCUCCAACAAAUUUGCAAAAGGUUAUAGAGAUUCAUCAGACUGAACAAAUUUUCUAUAACUGAAGUUUAUGCCUUAUCAAACAAUCCAAUACUCUGCUUGGAUUCUGUUUUUGGAGAGAGUUGAUUAACUGCCACUGAAAAGAGUUUUCGUUAUAAUAAUUUUCCAAUAGUUUUGGUUAUAAAAUCCCUAUUCAUAUUUUCUCUUUUUUUGCCAAAUGAUAUGAUUGGAUGGUCACCACGUAAGCGUUUUAGUUUCCUUGGUUGAUUAGAGAGGGUUAGUCCUUAUGAUUUUAUGGGAUGUUUCCGAAGACAACUGUGACCAAAGAGUUUGGAGAAAAUCGUGUUCUAAAUGACGUUUGAGGUAGCUGCCUAGGCAGACAUUAUCCUCCCCGCUUUUGUUAAAAAUUUUAAGGUGAUCCAACAAUAUAGGUUAAUUUAAAAAAACUGACCUCCGUUCAGCUCAAAUUGCCGCAGCUACAGCUACCAUCGCCGUUACAACCUAUCGCCACCAUUGAUCAUCAUUCAUCGCAUGCUCGCCCAUCGUUAAGCCCGGCGAUGAACCCAAACUAGUCACACAUGCCCGACAACGAGCCUGGACCCGUUGGGUAAACACGACAAUGACUCCAACCUCGUAGCGGCGAUGGCAGCUUUAGAUGCGGCGAUUUGAGGUGAACGGAGGUGAGUUUUUUUUUAAAUUAACCUAUAUUGUUGGAUCACCUUAAAGUUUCCAAUAAAAGCGGGAAGGAUAAUGCCUGCCUAGACUGCUUCCUCAAACGUCAUUUAAAAUACUAUUUUCUUCAUAUUCUCUUGUCACAGUUCUCUUCGGAAACAUCCCAUAAAAUCAUAAGGACUAACCUUUCCAAUCAACCAGGGAAACUAAAGCGCCAACGUGGUGACCAUCCAAUCAUAUCAUUUGGCAAAAAGAGAAAAUAUAUGAAUAGGGAUUUUAUAACCAAAACUAUUGGAAAAGUAUUAUAACGAAAACUUCUUUCAGUGAUCAGUUAGUCAACCCUCUUCAAAAAUAGAAUCCAAGCAGAGUAUUGUAUUGUUUGAUAAGCCAUAAACUUUAGAUAUAUAAAAUUUGUUCAAUCUAAUGAAUCUCUAUAAUUUUUUGCAAAUUUGUUGGGCCCGCAAAACCAGUGCCAUUUAUUGAGAUGGUGGCGGCAAGCAUAAUUUUUUAUAGUAGCUUUUAUAGUUUCUUCCACAAACACACUUUUAUAUGAUGGUAAUUCAAGAUAUUUUCUAAUAUCCCUAUUUGCAUAAACAAAAUAAAAAAUAGAUUAAUAAAUUUUAUAAAAAAAUAAUUGACAUAUCAAUAAAUAUAUUUUCGUAUUUAUUAUCUGCAAUGGAAAACCUAUAGUAACAUUUUAUUUGAAUUCAUGCAGCUUGUUGAUGGAUAUAUGGUACAACCAUAGAUUCUGCAUUGCAGAUAAAUAAAUUUAUUAAUAUGUCAAUUAUUUUUUUAUUAAAAUUUAUUAAUCUAUUUUUUAUUUUGUUUGUGCAAAUAGGGAUAUUAGAAAAUAUCUUGAAUUACCAUUAUACAAAUGUGAGUUUGUGGAAGAAACUAUAAAAGCUACUAUAAAAAAUUAUGCUUGCCGCCACCAUCUCAAUAAAUGACAUUGGUUCAGCGGACUUUAACAAAUUUGCAAAAGGUUAUAGAGAUUUUUCAGACUGAACAAAUUUUCUAUAGCUGAAGUUUAUGCCUUAUCAAACAAUGCAAUACUCUGCUUGGAUUCUGUUUUUGGAGAGAAUUGACUAACUGCCACUGAAAAGAGUUUUCGUUAUAAUACUUUUCCAAUAGUUUUGGUUAUAAAAUCUGUUUUCAUAUUUUUUCUCUUUUUGCCAAAUGAUAUGAUUGGAUGGUCACCACGUUGGCGCUUUAGUUUCCCUGGUUGAUUAGAGAGGGUUAGUCCUUAUGAUUUUAUGGGAUGUUUCCGAAGACAACUGUGACCAGAGAAUAUGGAGAAAAUAGUGUUCUAAAUGACGUUUGAGGUAGCUGCCUAGGCAGACAUUAUCCUCCCUGCUUUUGUUGGAAAUUUUAAGGUGAUCUAACAAUAUA